CCUGCCCCGAAGCGGGGGAUAACAUUUGGAAACAAAUGCUAAUACCGCAUAAUUAGUUGGAACCGCAUGGUUCCAACUUGAAAGAUGGCUCUGCUAUCACUUUGGGAUGGACCCGCGCCGUAUUAGUUAGUUGGUGAGAUAAAAGCCCACCAAGACGAUGAUACGUAGCCGACCUGAGAGGGUAAUCGGCCACAUUGGGACUGAGACACGGCCCAGACUCCUACGGGAGGCAGCAGUAGGGAAUCUUCCACAAUGGACGAAAGUCUGAUGGAGCAACGCCGCGUGAGUGAUGAAGGUUUUCGGAUCGUAAAACUCUGUUGUUAAAGAAGAACAAGUGUUAGAGUAACUGUUAACACUUUGACGGUAUUUAACCAGAAAGCCACGGCUAACUACGUGCCAGCAGCCGCGGUAAUACGUAGGUGGCAAGCGUUGUCCGGAUUUAUUGGGCGUAAAGCGAGCGCAGGCGGUUUUGUAAGUCUGCUGUGAAAGCCCUCAGCUCAACUGA
rnacentral:rRNA from 1 species